GUGUUAAUUUUGUUUUACCUGGGUAAUAUUAGUUAAGGUCUUUAAACCCAAAGAAUUUGGCGGUAUUUCAUUCCAUUCAGAGGAACCUAUCUCAUAAUUGAUAGUACACGAUUAACUUUACUUGAUUUAUUUGUUUGUAUAUCUCCGUUAUCAGAAAAUCUUUUUGGAGUUAUAAUUUUCCUGUUUUUUCAUUAGAAAUUAUUUCAGGUCAAGGUGCAGCUUAUAAUCAAGUGUAUGAUGGGUUACAAUAAAUUUUUUUAUUAUGGAUUUAAUUUUGAAAUUUUUUAAUGAAGGUGGAUUUGAUAGUAAUUUAAUUUAUUUAAUUUAAUUGAUAUUGGCUCU
rnacentral:rRNA from 1 species